GCCUGGGUGGCUCAGUGGUUGAGCAUCUGCCUUUGGCUCAGGGUGUGAUCCUGGGGUCCUGGGAUCGAGUCCCACACCGGGCU
rnacentral:tRNA from 1 species